GCUUAAUUUGACUCAAUACGAGUAAACUUACCAGAUUCAGACAUAGUAAGGAUUGAUAGACUGAGAGCUCUUUACUGAUUCUAUGGGUGGUGGUGCAUGGUAAUUCUUAGUGGGUGGAGUGAUUUGUUUGGUUAAUUUUAUUAACGAAUGACCUAUUCUUAAACUUUAAAUAGGUAGGACAGCGCAGCUGCAUUAUUGAGCCGCACCACAGAACAAAGAUCUACAAGUAGUAUCUGAUCAUCUUCGAGCCCCCA
rnacentral:ncRNA from 1 species